AUGAGUUCUAUCUCUUUGCAGAUGGGGAGCAUGCCACUAUAUAAAUCCCAGGUGCCAAUGCAAUGCCAACUCACCUGCCCGCUGGCUGCCGGGUGCCCCCACAAUAUGGCUCCGGACAGGCUGGCUGCGCCCCUCCUUGAUCUCGAUGGUGAAGAGGGUUUUCAUGGCCUCGUCGUCGUCCCGGUGGGGCUGUGCCAAAGGGUUGCGGGAGGUGCCACCCGGCUGGGCAUGGGGCUCCUCUGCACUGCCGGUGCUCCCCUUGGCAUUUUCAACCAAGGCAGCCCUCGGCUUGCCGCCCAGCCAUUGGCUGCCUUGGCUCCGCCCCGCAGGAGUGCCCGCCUCUUUGGGGCCGGCCGAGAAGGAGGAGGAGGUCGUCGGUUUGGGCACCUGCUCUGUGCCAACCUCUGCUGCCCGUUUGGGGGUCUGCAGCCCAGGCGGGAACUCUCUGGAGGGGGGGCGCAGCUGCUGCAGGACCCGGGAGCCUUUGCCGGGACCCUCCGCCUUUGUCGCCGGGGGCUCGGCGCUGAACUUGCGUGCCCGUUCCCAGACCGAGCCCGAUCGCUGGAAAGGCUGCUCCCGGUGGGCAUCUGCCCAGAGAGAGAGAGAGAAAGGGAGGGAGGGAGGGAGGUGAGCGCCGGUUUGGGAAGGGAGCCAAACAUCUCCGGCUACACAACAUGGAUCCCGACUGUAAAGUGCAGACUAGAAGCAGGAGCGGAGGCAUCGCCCCGGCCUCGAUGCCCUGCAGAGAGGGCACUCCGAGUGUUACCUGCGCUGCCCUUUGGAGGUGGCACGGAGGGCGCUGUUUCGCAGCCGCGGGCAUCUAAGGGGGCCGGGCCCUUGGAGUUGGCUGCUGGCAGAGCUGUUGAGGAAAGAGAGAGGAAAGGAGAACUUCCACAAGAGUACAAAGAAGUAUGUCCAAACGUCUGUCAAACGGAUAUCCAAUUGGGAAGCAACCCAGGGAUCUAUAGAGGCCAACAAGGUCUCCAAAACAUGGCAGCGUGGCACUCCUAA
rnacentral:lncRNA from 1 species